GGCUGUUACUCUGAAACCUGUCAUUAAGAAAAGGCAGACACGCCUUACGACUCAGCAAGGCAUGCAGGGACCUGCCUAUGGACAGAACUCUGAGGGUUUUCCAGGUCAUGUGAUGGACAGCUCGUGUUUGGGACAAA